rnacentral:misc_RNA from 1 species
GUUCAGAAAAAACUUAGCAUAAACAUCACCUACUUAAACCAAACCGAUAAGCCACCCUUACCCCAACUUGGGCAACAAAACCUGAAAAGAAGUUACAAUACGAAAAACAGCACAAGGUUGCAGAAAAACUGACAGGUAAACAGGAACCAAAUACACAUGUGCCCACACAUUAUGCACUACAUGAUUCUCACUGUUACAUAGGAGCAUAAGUAGCUAAACAUCUCUUUGUGUUCAUUAAAGUUGCUAAAUCUCAUUUCAAGCAAGGUCCUGAAGCUUGAAUAUAUACAUACAUCAUAAAAUAUGAGCAGAUCAACAUGUUUAGCUGCUACCUUCAAUUUCCAAUCCCUUGCUACCUGGAACAUUGAUCCACUUAAUUUGAACCUCCACUUCACCACACUCUACAUUUCUCAAUCUGAGAUGCAUGUCCUGGGUGAUUUCGCCAUUGUUCCAA